GUGAACAGACUCUGCAAUGCAGCUGCUGGGCUUUGUCCCUGUUCUGUAUGGAAGUGAAGCACGCAAAGGACUCUGAAGACGCAGUGGUUUUAGAGGACCCUGAAGAUACGCUGGUUGUUGAAAUGCUAGUCCUGUUUUCAGUCUGUUAGCAGUGAAGCUGAGCAUCCGUGAGCUCCACACGGAUUCCCCACCUCUGUGGGUAAUUAUUCUUCAUAGCGUGCAUAGCUUUCUCAGGCAUAAUGUGGCAAAAGAGAGUAAAUAAGAUCGGUGGACAUUAAAAGACAGUUAAAGUGCCUAAUUAAGAACAAUUACCAGCUCAUUAUGAUUCAGGGGUUGCCAGAAGCCCACACACAGGGGUUCCCCGAAUUGAGUCAAAGAAACCCCACUCUGAACCCAGGUGGGCUGCUUGUUCUGUCCUCAUCAUUACGCUUAAUGCUCUUAUCACCUCCUGCAGUGUGUGUUAGACUGGCAGAACAGGGGAAUCUGGGAAGCCUUACGAAGCUGCCUGCACCUCCCGCAGGACCGCCGGGAACACCAUUACACUUGGAGCCGCUGGGAACGCCGUUACACUGGGAACACCGCUACGCUGGGAACACCGCUACACUGAGAACACAGCUACACUGGGAAUACCGUUACACUGGGAACACAGCUACACUGGGAAUACCGUUACACUGGAAACACAGCUACACUGGGAAUACCGUUACACUGGGAGCGCCGUUACACUGGGAACGCCAUUAUGUUUGGAGUGCCCGCACAUGCACCGGCAGUCUCACAGGGAGAGAGGACAUGCCUCAUGGGCUUGAAUAAUGGAUGCUCUAAAUGUAGUUACAUAUAUGAAAUAUUAUUUUUUUUAAGAUGGCCAUAGUAAUCUCUGCUGACAAACUAAAUGUGCAUAUCACCCAGGGAUGGAAAGUCCUGCUCAGCUUGUAAAUUUGCGUCUUUCGCAAAAAAAUUUCCUGUUUCCUUAUGGAGAGAGAGGAGAAAAAAAAAGAGUAAGGAGGUGGGUUACAGCCGGUUGCCAUGACCGUCAUGAUUCCAUCUGGGGCCCUUACGUAACUGUGGUGCGAAAGAAUAGCAGAGAGUGGGAAUGAGUUUGUUGGGUACAUGGCAACCCUGCAGGUCAUUGUGUUGCCCUAGACUUAAACAGAAAAUCCUGAACAUGACAUUUUAUUACUAAAAGUCUGCCGGGAAAAAGCAA